ACAACCAUUCACACUCACACUCACACCUAGGGACAAUUUAGAGUGUUCAAUCAGCCUGCCACGCAUGUUUUUGGAAUGUGGGAGGAAACCGGAGCACCCGGAGAAAACCCACGCAGGCCCGGGGAGAACAUGCAAACUCCACACAGGGAGGCCGGAGCUGGAAUCGAACCCGGUACCUCAGCACUGUGAAGCCGACGUGCUAACCAC